rnacentral:rRNA from 1 species
GAUGAACGCUGGCGGCGUGCCUAAUACAUGCCAGUCGAGCGAACAGAUAAGGAGCUUGCUCCUUUGACGUUAGCGGCGGACGGGUGAGUAACACGUGGGUAACCUACCUAUAAGACUGGGAUAACUUCGGGAAACCGGAGCUAAUCCCGGAUAAUAUUUCGAACCGCAUGGUUCGAUAGUGAAAGAUGGUUUUGCUAUAACUUAUAGAUGGACCCGCGCCGGAUUAGAUAGUUGGUAAGGUAACGGGUUUCCAAGGCGACGAUUCGUAUCCGACCUGAGAGGGUGAUCGGCCACACGGGAACUGAGACACGGUCCAGACUCCUACGGGAGGCAGCAGUAGGGAAUCUUCCGCAGUGGGCGAAAGCCUGACGGAGCAACGCCGCGUGAGUGAUGAAGGUCUUCGGAUCGUAAAACUCUGUUAUUAGGGAAGAACAUACGUGUAAGUAACUGUGCACGUCUUGACGGUACCUAAUCAGAAAGCCACGGCUAACUACGUG